rnacentral:rRNA from 1 species
CCUGGAAACAGAUGCUAAUACCGGAUAACAACAGAUGAUGCCUAUCAACUGUUUAAAAGAUGGUUCUGCUAUCACUCUUGGAUGGACCUGCGGUGCAUUAGCUAGUUGGUAGAGUAACGGCCUACCAAGGCGAUGAUGCAUAGCCGAGUUGAGAGACUGAUCGGCCACAUUGGGACUGAGACACGGCCCAAACUCCUACGGGAGGCAGCAGAC